CGAAUUUUUUUUUUACAGGAUGGUAGGGGAAGAUUCAUGAAUAUUCAUUAGGGAACGUGUCUUUGAUUGGCCAGUCAGCUCUAAAAUUCUAGGUGUAGUCUGCUCAAAGUAAAGUUCAGUUAUGGUGAAUGUAAACACGCUACAGCCACCGGCAGUUGUUAUUCGGUCGAAAUCAUUUAAGUACUGAACAUUGAAACACUAUUGCCACCAUUUAUGUAGCCAGCUGCUGGUUCUUCUGCUGGUAGCACUAUCUUCAUACCACUAUCAACAACAGUUAGCUGCUACGACUUCUCCGAUCCCUCGGAUAACGGUUUUUUCGCUGAUGGAGUGCUGAAACGGCGGUGACUGAGGGCUCACUGUCAUUCACAAGUGGGUCCAGUCUGGUUUGGGGGUCUACCCUUUCUCAUCAUGUCCUGCUACCCAAUAAAAAGGGAAAUAACUAAAGGCCUCUGCAGCUGCUUUUACAGAUGCUGUGAGAGUCAUGCCCUGUGCAGCGGCUUCUGAUUCAGUACAGCAGUUCAAUCAGCCCAGCAAACAGGAAAAACAGUUAAAUGUGUUUUAACUGUCAGCAUCCCUACCCAAAAAGAUCAGGCUACUGUUAUUUCCAACUAAGAAAAAAAAUGGUCUGGUUUGAAGAUUAUCUGUGUUUUGAAGCAUGUCCUAAAUAUUAAUUAAUAAUAAAAAU